rnacentral:lncRNA from 1 species
AUGAGACUUGUACUGGUUGGCCUGGAACAGAGUGGAGAACAGGGGAAGAGUGGAGCAGGGAACACCAUUCUGGACAGAGUGGAGGACAGGGGAAGAGUGCAGCAGGGAACACCAUUCUGGACAGAGUGGGGAACAUGGGAAAAGUGUAGCAGGGAACACCAUUCUGGACAGAGUGGAGAACAGGGGAAGAGUGCAGCAGGGAACACCAUUCUGGACAGAGUGGAAAACAGGGGAAGAGUGCAGCAGGGAACACCAUUCUGGACAGAGUGGAGAACAGGGGAAGAGUGCAGCAGGGAACACCAUUCUGGACAGAGUGGAGAACAGGGGAAGAGUGCAGCAGGGAACACCAUUCUGGACAGAGUGGAGAACAGGGGAAGAGUGCAGCAGGGAACACCAUUCUGGACAGAGUGGAGAACAGGGGAAGAGUGCAGCAGGGAACACCAUUCUGGACAGAGUGGAGAACAGGGGAAGAGUGCAGCAGGGAACACCAUUCUGGACAGAGUGGAGAACAGGGGAAGAGUGCAGCAGGGAACACCAUUCUGGACAGAGUCGAGAACAGGGGAAGAGUGCAGCAGGGAACACCAUUCUGGACAGAGUGGAAAACAGGGGAAGAGUGCAGCAGGGAACACCAUUCUGGACAGAGUGGAGAACAGGGGAAGAGUGCAGCAGGGAACACCAUUCUGGACAGAGUGGAGAACAGGGGAAGAGUGCAGCAGGGAACACCAUUCUGGACAGAGUGGAGAACAGGGGAAGAGUGCAGCAGGGAACACCAUUCUGGACAGAGUGGAGAACAGGGGAAGAGUGCAGCAGGGAACACCAUUCUGGACAGAGUGGAGAACAGGGGAAGAGUGCAGCAGGGAACACCAUUCUGGACAGAGUGGAGAACAGGGGAAGAGUGCAGCAGGGAACACCAUUCUGGACAGAGUGGAGAACAGGGGAAGUGUGCAGCAGGGAACACCAUUCUGGACAGAGUGGAGAACAGGGGAAGAGUGCAGCAGGGAACACCAUUCUGGACAGAGUGGAGAACAGGGGAAGAGUGCAGCAGGGUUAGUUCUAAUGUCGUGCCCCAUCAGAACCCAAAUUAUAAGACAGUUUACAAACGUUGGAGUAAAACAAUGUAAAUGUAAACAAACACUGUAUAGCCUCAAAGCAUGA